rnacentral:rRNA from 1 species
AUUGAACGCUGGCGGCAGGCCUAACACAUGCAAGUCGAGCGGAUGAAGGGAGCUUGCUCCUGGAUUCAGCGGCGGACGGGUGAGUAAUGCCUAGGAAUCUGCCUGGUAGUGGGGGAUAACGUCCGGAAACGGGCGCUAAUACCGCAUACGUCCUGAGGGAGAAAGUGGGGGAUCUUCGGACCUCACACUAUCAGAUGAGCCUAGGUCGGAUUAGCUAGUUGGUGGGGUAAAGGCCUACCAAGGCGACGAUCCGUAACUGGUCUGAGAGGAUGAUCAGUCACACUGGAACUGAGACACGGUCCAGACUCCUACGGGAGGCAGCAGUGGGGAAUAUUGGACAAAGGGCGAAAGCCUGAUCCAGCCAUGCCGCGUGUGUGAAGAAGGUCUUCGGAUUGUAAAGCACUUUAAGUUGGGAGGAAGGGCAGUAAGUUAAUACCUUGCUGUUUUGACGUUACCAACAGAAUAAGCACCGGCUAACUUCGUG